rnacentral:rRNA from 1 species
GGCUCAGGACGAACGCUGGCGGCGUGCUUAACACAUGCAAGUCGAGCGGGCAUCUAUCUGGUGGCAACACCUUGUAGGUGCUAGCGGCGAACGGGUGAGUAACACGUGAGCAACCUGCCCUGAAGACGGGGAUAACAGCCGGAAACGGCUGCUAAUACCCGAUACCUCUGCUGGGUCACAUGGCCUGGCAAAGAAAUGGAUUCCGCUUCAGGAGGGGCUCGCGGCCUAUCAGCUUGUUGGUGAGGUAACGGCUCACCAAGGCUUCGACGGGUAGCUGGUCUGAGAGGACGACCAGCCAUACUGGGACUGAGACACGGCCCAGACUCCUACGGGAGGCAGCAGUGGGGAAUCUUGCGCAAUGGGCGAAAGCCUGACGCAGCAACGCCGCGUGGGGGACGAAGGCUCUCGGGUUGUAAACCCCUUUCAGCAGGAACGAAAUUGACGGUACCUGCAGAAGAAGCCCCGGCCAACUACGUGCCAGCAGCCGCGGUAAUACGUAGGGGGCGAGCGUUGUCCGGAUUCAUUGGGCGUAAAGAGCUCGUAGGCGGUUUGGUAAGUCGGGUGUGAAAACCCCAGGCUCAACCUGGGGACGCCACCUGAUACUGCCAUGACUUGAGUCUGGUAGGGGAUCACGGAAUUCCUGGUGUAGCGGUGAAAUGCGCAGAUAUCAGGAGGAACACCGGUGGCGAAGGCGGUGAUCUGGGCCAGUACUGACGCUGAGGAGCGAAAGCGUGGGUAGCAAACAGGAUUAGAUACCCUGGUAGUCCACGCCGUAAACGUUGGGCACUAGGUGUGGGGGGACGUCAACUCCUUCCGUGCCGCAGCUAACGCAGUAAGUGCCCCGCCUGGGGAGUACGGCCCGCAGGCUAAAACUCAAA